GAAAAUAGCUGACUUACCAUUAACUCCUGGCCCAAAUUACAUACGCUUAACGCUUUCCAUUAUUUCUGUUCUCUGGUCGUACCCCCCACUUGGGAAACACGCGCUAACUCAACCCCCCUUUCUACCACUAGAUGACCAACUCUUUCGUUUUUUUUUGGGCCAUAACAAAGCUCAGUACGCCGUGUUCAAUGCCCAAUUGAAGACAUAAUUACUACUUAAAAGCGGCAUUAACGCUAUCACUUACACAUGUCACAUGCUCGUCGGAGCAUUACGGAAGACAAUAAAACUGAAAACUGAAAACGAACACGGGGGGGCGGUGGGCCUCCCUUCUUUUCACUGUGCCACAUCAUCGGCGGACCCAAAUAACAGCCUCAUCAUGAUCUUGACUGGGCACAAAACGCGUUCCAGCUGUGGUUGCCUCUUUUGUACGAUGCUGGAAUCUCAGAUCUUCGAGAUGGAGAUCUCCGAUAUUAUGGAAACUGGGAGCCGGGGGACGUCUCAUCAUUAUCAUCAUCAUCACAUCGCUCACUCGAAAAAAUACUAUACAUAGCUAACUGCAACCAGAAAAAUUGAGAACGAGAAGACUCGAGAUUAGUCCUUUUCAUGAGAAGAAGCUUUUUUGAAUUCGAGAAGAAAACGAACUCAAUGUUCAUAUAUUUUCAGUGGAAAGAGGCAAAUGAGAGCCAAGUCAUUUG
ensembl:ncRNA lncRNA:CR45450 long non-coding RNA:CR45450